ACUGACCCUAAGUUGUAAUUAAAAUCAUGCCAUGGAUUUUGAGAAUAGCUUGUGUUCUGUGAACAUACAACUUUCUCAAAGUCUUGUAUUUAAUUUGUAUAUUACCACUCUGCUGAAACUAAAGUUUAAAAAUAUAUUUUAUAAUAGUUUGCAAGCCAUUGUAACAUAUAUGUAUCAACUAAGCAUUGAAUUACAGCAAGAAGUGAAUUUAAAAUUUACCGAUAGCCUAGCAUGUUUCAACUUCCAGAAGUUUACCUUCAGGAGUGAUGUCCACUAAUUAUAACAGAGCAGGUUGAAGGAAGUGGGCACAGCUAACUGUUCCAGAACCACUCAGAACCAAAGCUUGGCACAGAGAAGACUCCCCAAUGUAUGAAGAUUCCAAACUUUGCAUCGUCAUACCACUGAGGUAAAGGCCUGGAGUCCAGACUCUCCCAUGUUGGAUUAUAUCUUAAGAUGCUGGCUUCUACAGAUUCAUAAUGUGAGGCAACAAUGGCUCCAAGCAGCACAGACAUACACCAUAAUGCAGCCAUCUCAGCCAGGAUUUCUUGUAUUCUGUAGGUUUCAGUCAAAUGUAAGUCAGUUCUGAUUAUCUACUUAUCUCUUUGUAAUUUUAGAUAAGUGCAAAAUAUGGGUUAAGUACAAGAUUCUCAUGCUGGAAAGUUACAUAUUAAAUUGAAUGUCAUCUUUAUUGUAAUAGGAAGAAACUGAGCUGCACCUUAUGAACUUUCCCACUACAAAUGUUAAUUUUCCACUAAUUCCUCCAGGUGAACAGACACCAGAAAGCUGAAGAGACUGUAAUUGGAACAAAUACCAUGGUGUAAUGAGUAGGCAUUCUGCUUCAUAUUUUGCAGAUUGCAGAUUCAAAUCUCAGCUCAUUUCCAUGCUAUUCUGAACAAGGUUUUUGUGGUUUUCUUCAAACUGUUAGGAUGCUAAGAAGGUACCUAAAAUAGGCUGUAGUCUUCUCUUUCCACACAUUUUUCAAAUUCAUUAUUCAUGAUAAUCAUAAUUACUCUCUAAAGGGGUGUGACAAUGGUUGAUUCAUUAUAGUUACUGGCAUUAUUAUAUUCUGCAUUAUCCACUGUUUGAGUACAUUUGAUUUACACUAGAUAGAUGUAGAUCCAUACCUUAGACCAUAAGAAGCAGGGUGUGGGGCAAGCCAUCAAAUUGAGAAAAUACAGAUACCAGAACUUUGUUUUUUUAUGAUGAAUCUAUUGAUUUCUUUUUAUUUUAGACUAGUGGCAGUGGUUGGUAUCAAGUCCAUACAUUUUGAUUAUUAUGAUUUUGACCACAGUGCAUCACAUAUUUCUUUCUUUCUAUGAUUUAAAGUGCAUUAAACUCACAUAUAACAGAAAUGCCAUAUAUUAAGUUUAAUGAAAGUUUGUCAAAGGAUGUAAGUCAUACUGUCAUGAGCUGCUUUUAGCCCUAAAGAGUAGUUUUUAAAACACUUAAAAGUGAAUGAAACUUUUGUAAAAACUAAAGUGACUCAUAUUGACAUUUAAUUAACACUGUAGUUUUUGUACGAAAAUGUACAGGUUAAAUUGGUGUCACUAAGUAUAUUCCAAAACCUUUAAAGUUCUUUGAGCCCUGCAUCUGUUGGCAUAAAGAUGAACAUUAAUGUUUAUAAAAUUGUGGUAACUGUCACAUGUCCAUUCAUUAUGUUUGCUCUCUGUAAGCAAGAUCUGUAAUGUAACUAGUUGCAGUGUUGAAAUAUUAAACAUAUCUUAAAUACAACA